rnacentral:rRNA from 1 species
UACGAAGGGGGCUAGCGUUGUUCGGAAUCACUGGGCGUAAAGGGCGCGUAGGCGGCCGAUCAAGUCGGGGGUGAAAGCCUGUGGCUCAACCACAGAAUUGCCUUCGAUACUGUUUGGCUUGAGACCGGAAGAGGUUAGUGGAACUGCGAGUGUAGAGGUGAAAUUCGAUAGAUAUUCGCAAGAACACCAGUGGCGAAGGCGGCUCACUGGCCCGAUACUGACGGCUG